UACGAAGGUGGCAAGCGUUGUUCGGAUUUACUGGGCGUAAAGGGAGCGUAGGUGGUUAGGUAAGCCCUCCGGGAAAUCUUCAGGCUUAACCCGAAAAGGUCGGGGGGGACUGCCUGGCUAGAGGACGGGAGAGGAGCGCGGAAUUCCCGGUGUAGCGGUGAAAUGCGUAGAGAUCGGGAGGAAGGCCGGUGGCGAAGGCGGCGCUCUGGAACGUUUCUGACACUGAGGCUCGAAAGCGUGGGGAGCAAACAGG
rnacentral:rRNA from 1 species